AACAAUACAAAGGAGGGAUAAAAUGUCCUCACAGAAGAAAACCACCCCAAUUUAAUACAUGGGGGUUCGCAAAAAAUAUAAAUGUUUCACCUAAACAAAGCCUUAUAUGGAUCCAUCCCUAUACAAAUUACUGCUACUACUGAUAUAGCCUUAGGCAGCAGAUGGGGCGGUCUUGUAGUGAACAACACCAGUCUCCGAGAGUGCAGCCAAGAGUGGUUGUACACCACUUUCAGUUCUACCAGCAGCAGCAGCCAGAGUGUCCUUGUAGUCCAAGGACUCGUCAUUGUAAAUGUCCCACCAUUUCUUGAUCAUCAUCUUGAUGUCUUCUCUGUCCAUGUUGUUUUCUUUCCCAGUAUACCUCCAUGGCUUGGAGCCAGCUGCACAGUAGUGAACAACCUUGAGCUUGUCAAGUUCAAUAUUCUCAGGAUGGCGCCAGAGCAAGGCCAAAACGAGGUUGUAAAUUGGAGGAAGUGGCCUGAAAAUGUCCUUGAAGAACAUGUUCAGGAAAUCCUGCUCAGCAAAGAGAGUAGGAGUGGUAACUUUG
rnacentral:misc_RNA from 1 species